AUACGUAUGUCGCAAGCGUUAUCCGGAUUUAUUGGGCGUAAAGCGCGUCUAGGCGGCUUAGUAAGUCUGAUGUGAAAAUGCGGGGCUCAACCCCGUAUUGCGUUGGAAACUGCUAAACUAGAGUACUGGAGAGGUAGGCGGAACUACAAGUGUAGAGGUGAAAUUCGUAGAUAUUUGUAGGAAUGCCGAUGGGGAAGCCAGCCUACUGGACAGAUACUGACGCUAAAGCGCGAAAGCGUGGGUAGCAAACAGGAUUAGAUACCCUGGUAGUCCACGCCGUAAACGAUGAUUACUACGUGUUGGGGGUCGAACCUCAGCGCCCAAGCUAACGCGAUAAGUAAUCCGCCUGGGGAGUACGUACGCAAGUAUGAAACUUAAAGGAAUUGACGG
rnacentral:rRNA from 1 species